GGGGGGGUGGGGGGAAGCUGGUUGUCUCUUUUAAAUGUUAAGGAAAGGGUUAUGUAGCUCUCACACAGGCUGUGUGUGUGUGUGUGUGUCUUUCAGGAAAAAAAAAGUCACAUCUGCUCAAAUGUUUCCAGCAAAGUACCAAAUCCAAACCAAAAUUAUAUAUUUUAUAUAUAUAUAUAUAUAUAUGUAUAUAUAUCUAUAGAAAUAUUCCUGUGUGGGAAAGCGAAAACUGCCAACUGUUUGUCGCCUUUUAUUUGUUCCCCAAAGCAGUAUUUUGGCACUUGGCAAUUUGUCUUUUUUUUAAAAAAAAAACAUAAAAUUGAGGGUAGGGUGAAAAUAUUUCUUUGAAAUGGGUUUAAACAGCCUUUGUAGAGUUACAAGAGCACUGGUCUUUAACAUUUGACUAACCUACUUUGAUGAAAUAGCUAUAUCUGUACAUUGCUAGCCUAGGGUUUUUCUAAAGUGCCGUCUUUCAUUUUUAGCACUGUUCAGUGAAGUGGAUGCGGACUGUAGUUUCUCCUCUACCGUGAUCAGGUAGCUUCACAAAUGUUUGAUUUGUGAAUUCUGUUUUGACCAUCUCUUGCAAUUUGAUAAAUUAUGAACUGCUGUAAAUUUGUACAGUUCAUGUAUAUUGAUUGUGGCAAAAGUUGUACAGAUUUCUAUUUUGGAAGAGAAAUUUUCUUCUCAAUUAUAAUAAAACGUUUCCUAUCUCGCCAUUUUAACAAGAACAAAAGUUGCCUUCCGUGUUUGGUUUUGGUUGGGGAAUGUUUCCAGUUUAUUUGUGUCCCCCUGCAGCCAGUAUUCAACAUGAUGAAAUUCCAAAAUUAGCCACAAAAGAGGGAAGUAAAAGCUUAGUUCAAAUUCAAGUCGUCAGCUAAUUUGAUGUUUCAAAACAAUGCAUAGUAUGGUCAUUUUUGGCAUUGCAAUCAGCCAAAAUUUCUGUAGGAUGCCUCAAAUAAUUUUUUUUGAUAGAAAGAUGUUCAGGGUAAAAGGAUUGGUGAAAACACAUGAGUGUGACAAAGCAUUGUCCAGAUCUCUCUCUCCUUCACUUGGAUCUUUUGGGAGUUCAGAUAUUCCCUGACCUCCCCCAAUGCCCCAACCCUUCAGUGUUUAGCUGGCCAAGUCUGAAUGAACUUGCGAUUACUUAUUAUAAAUAGAAAGCGUUGGUGUGAAGAUCAAUGCCUGGUAAAGUGCACAACAAGUCUCAACAUGUCAGGUCUUGCCAUUGAGAGUUUCCUCAGUAACCAAGGGGCUGGUUAUUAGAUGUGGCUUGCUUGCAUUUGCAAUCCCCAGCCCUCACAUUCCCAGUUUGUGUAUUCAAAGUCGCCGUACCUCUGGAAAAAUAUUUCCAGCCUUGACGUAACCAAAGGUAUAAAGUGGGCCGCUUACAAUUGGAGCUAUCUCCCUCUCCUUGGGUACUUCUGAUCUAUUGCAUCUCAAAGUGACACUGAAUGAUACCGGCAGUGGUUUAUCCCCUACCAUCUUCCCUGGGACUGAGAUGGAGAUCGAAACCCUUUUGUUUCAGUGCAGACUGGAUCUUGAGCAGCUUGAGGAACAUUCAUCCAAAUCACCACUGUUUAACAGUGACAACUGCUGAUGCUGCUUCAGCUGUUCUGUUCCAGAAAGCCAAAUGGUAAAGGAUAGAACUGGAGCCAAUCUUUGCACACUUUUUAACAGCUUUAUCUCAGAGAUACACUUUACAAAUAUGCACCUCCUAGCUCACCUCCCACAAUUUCAGGUUGUUCCUAUUUAUAGGAGCACAGAUGAAUCCCCAGUUAAUGCCCACCACCUGAAUACAACAAUACACAAUUAACAUAGCUGCUGAAUAUUUCCAACAUUUUCUGUUUUUAUUUUAGAUUUGUAGCAUCUAUUCCUUUAUGACUUAUCUAGCUUCCCCUUAAAUGCAUCUAUGCUAUUCGGCACAACUACUACCUUUGGUAGCAAGCUCUGCAUUCUAACCAUUCUCUUGAUUUCUUUAGUGCAUUUAAUGUUGACUAUCUUUAGCUUUCUGGCCCCAAACUGACGAGUUAGCUUUGAUGUUAUUUCUUAGCGGUGGUAAAUAAUAUAUAUUAGUCUGCCUCAGCAGAUGCUAAACAUCUUGUAUGUUGUCACAGGAAACCUCUGAACCCUUCUGUGGGGGGGACAGAAGGAAAUGAAAAGACAGAUACAGACAGCAAGCCUAGGUCUUGUUUUUUUGUUUUGAAGCAGAAUGCUGUAAGAAUAGUAAUGCCCAGAAAAGGGUGCGAGAAAGUUAAGAUCAUGAAGGAAUGUUUAGAAGUCAUUUUGUUUAAGCCAAGCAAAUUAACUCAGUGAUGUUGGAGAAAUGUGGUCUGUUUGUUUGUUUUGUAUCAUUACACAAAGACAAGUUCUAAUAAUUGAACAGGAUUUUGAUCAUCGCUGUUGCUCUGUAUAUUUCCUUGUGGUGAAAUAAAGCAGCUCAAUGAUU